UAGUUAUGGAGGUGUUGGAAGUAAGCUUAUCUUUGGAGCCGGAACAAAACUGAUGGUAGAAUUAACUAUUCCAGACAGAUCACCAUCACUCUACGUUCUUAGACCAAAGAAGGAGAACAGAAGCAAAGUUUCACCGGUGUGCCUCGUCACUGAUUUCUCACCAAGAGAAAUCCAUGUAUCAAUUAAUGAACACCAUUUAAAUGAAAGCGAUGCUUCAGUUCUUAUUCAGGAUAGGAGCUAUGGGGUUGUUGGAUACCUGAAUCAAAGAGAAAAGCAUUUUUCUUGCAAUGCAACCCAUAAAGGAAUAACAGUUUCUGUGGAGGAUGAAAAUUUGCCAGACUUACCUGAUUUGCCAGAUGAAGAAAAUACUUGUGUGAACCUGGACGUAUUUGAAACAGAUGAAAAGUUAAAUUUUCUGUCACUCUCUGUGUUGGGGCUGCGAAUAAUAUUCCUUAAGAGCAUAAUAUUCAAUGUACUUAUGACUGUCCAUGCUAUGUCAUCUUAAGACUAUAGGUUGACGCAGGUUACUGUUGUUCCAUGAUCUGAAAUGAACCAUGUGAAGAAGCUGGCCUUCAAAGAAAGAAUGCAACAUACAGCAAACAAGAAAAUCAAAUCUGACAUUAGAUUUUCUGGGAGUCUUUAUUGUUCCGUUUGCUGAAGCUUUAAUAUUACGAAUGAGUUUGUAUACUAUUCUUCAUAGCAAUACAAAUAUAUUGUAAUUUGUAAUAUGUGUUUAUACAAAUAUAAAUUGUAUUUAGUACUUUAGUAGUAUUUCAAGAUAUACUUAAUAGAAUGUUUUAUUCUCAUGCUGUUUGCACAUCAUAUUAAAUAUGUACAUAGAUGAUAUACAUU